rnacentral:rRNA from 1 species
AUUGAACGCUGGCGGCAGGCCUAACACAUGCAAGUCGAACGGUAACAGGAAACAGCUUGCUGUUUCGCUGACGAGUGGCGGACGGGUGAGUAAUGUCUGGGAAACUGCCUGAUGGAGGGGGAUAACUACUGGAAACGGUAGCUAAUACCGCAUAACGUCGCAAGACCAAAGAGGGGGACCUUCGGGCCUCGUGCCAUCGGAUGUGCCCAGAUGGGAUUAGCUAGUAGGUGGGGUAACGGCUCACCUAGGCGACGAUCCCUAGUUGGUCUGAGAGGAUGACCAGCCACACUGGAACUGAGACACGGUCCAGACUCCUACGGGAGGCAGCAGUGGGGAAUAUUGCACAAUGGGCGCAAGCCUGAUGCAGCCAUGUCGCGUGUAUGAAGAAGGCCUUCGGGUUGUAAAGUACUUUCAGCGGGGAGGAAGGGAGUAAAGUUAAUACCUUUGCUCAUUGACGUUACCCGCAGAAGAAGCACCGGCUAACUCCGUGCCAGCCGCCGCCGUAA